AGAUGACCUCCUGUGACGCAGCCUCCCUUGGGCCCUUGGAUUCCCUGAUGCGCAGCCACAAGCCCUUGGCUCCUGGGCGUGUUUGGCUGGAGAGACUUGAGUUACCCACAGUUCCUAAGCACCUUCAUUCCCAUCUUCAUGAUUGGCUCAGGGAUGGUAAAGAAAGGAUCCCAAACUCCUGGAGGGGGGCAGUUGGGAGAGCUGAGGAUGGUCAGUGACCAGUGCCCCUGCCUGAGGCUUCGUGACAAUUCCCAGAUCUUACCUGUCUGUAUUCCACGUGGUCACCUCUGAGGACAGUGGGAACUGAGCAAAUGUGAGUCAAUAGAAUCCAUAAUUUUCAGUUCGGCAUAUGGCAGCCUGGAAUGAGGAUUACGGUUCCCAGCUUCCCUUCCACAUCCUCAGUAUGGCCAUGGGGAAUUUGAGAUGUGAUGACUGGAUCUCAAGCAGCCAUCUUGGACCGUGUGGUGAAUUAAAGAUAGCUGCUGAUUCUUUGGCUGUCCUUCCUUCGAGAGGAAGAGGCUAUUUGGGAAUCUGAAUUUGGGCUGGCCUGUGACUUCUCGGGUCAACAGAGUAUAGCGGAAAUGAUACUCUGCCAAUUCAAGGCCCAGCCCUUAAGAGCACUGGUAGCUUCUGCCGUGGCCUCUUGGAUUCAUGAGCUGCCAUGGAAAAAUGUCAAACCACUCUGCUGGAGAGACCACCUGGAGAGGCCCUGAGACCACAUGGAAAGGGGGAGGAACCCAGCUAGCUCAGCAUUUCAGGUUUCCCCACCAAAGCCCCAGGAAUCCUGGUAAAACCAUCUUGACCCUCCAGACGAGCCCAACCAUCAACUGAAUACGACCAAGUGACUGGCUGAUGCCCAUGGAUCAGAAGGAUCACCCAGCUGAGCCCUGCCCAAAUUUCUGACCCACAAAACUGUAGAAAAUAAUGAAAUGGUGUUUUGGGGUAGUUUGUUAAGCAGCAAUAAAUAACCCGGACAGACCAUAAAGCAGAAGCUGUUUGCUGAGUAUGGUGCAACAGCUACACCAGCCCUGGUCUGGCCAGCUCCAGAUUUCGUAUUACCCAAGAAAAGGAAACCCUGUGUGUUUAAGCCUUGAUGAUGCCUCAGGCUACUGCUCACGGCCUCAGUUUCCCCAUAAUUGUUAAGUGGAGCAUUAGCUCCUGCCCUGUGACCUCCUAAAGGGCCUGAGAGGACAAAGGAAGAACCAGGAAGAGAAGGCAUUUUUCAUGUAAUAUAAACAUGCUUUAGACCAACGAGUGACACGCUCCGGCAGUCAGAGUAGAUUUGACGUAUUCGCGAUGGGUGUGAGCUUCUCCUGAGCCAAUUGCAAUGGAUUUUGGAGUCAGACGUAUCAGGGCUGGAGGCUCAGCUCUGCUACUUUCUAACGUGAUGAAUUGGGCCAGUCACGAAAUCUCUCCAAGCCUUAGUUUCCUCAUCAAUAAAACGCAGACGAUGCUAUUUCCCUUGUACAAUCUGUGUGAGGAUUAAGUUAAAUGAGAUUAAUCCAUCUCUUUGAUAAAUAGUGAGUAUCUUUGGUGUGCUAGGCUAGACCCACUCCUGAUACUGCUGGAGGCUGGGCCCCACUCACCCUCAAAAUCUAAGUAUGUAAACGUUAUAUAUCAAGGUGAUACACUGUUUUAAAAAUGCCCUAUCCUUCCCCUCCAUGAAUAUAACUUCAUAACGACCUGGAAGGCCGCGUUCAACUUGGAAAUCGGAUGCUCGUCAGACAUCUGCACUGAAACGCAGAGGGCAGGGGGGAGCUGGCCCCAUCCCCUGGCCCUCCAGCCUGCUCCCCUCCCUUCUCAUGCCAUCUCCGCCUCACACUGUGCAGACCUCACAUGCAGAAGCCAUCCCGUGUCUGUUCAGCCUGGAGGAGGCCCAACACCUCAGAGGGAGCUCUGUGGCUCGCAGCUCGCAGUGGAACCCAGCCCCUCCCACUCUGGCUCGAGGGGCAUCAGAUAGUCAGCACCCAAGCCAAAGGCAGCAGACGCCUCCCCGGCUGGAGAGCUCAGGCCUGCAGGUUUGGGGUUUGGAAGGAGGCCUAGGCCAUAGCAACCACUUCUCUCACUGUGGCUCAAACCACUGCUCCAGGCCUGGGGGUGGGUGGGUGGCCAGAAAGCAUGUGGCCUGCCCCAGGCUGUCAGGAGACCAGGCAGUGGCUUCCGGGCUCAUGUAGAGCCUCAUCCUGGGGUUGGUACCUAGCAUGCACCACAGACUCUGUGAGACUUCUGCUGUGACUGCCACACCUGGGCAGGCCCUGGGUGCCCUCCUGCCCGCCCUUCUCCUGGGACUUGCAGGUGAGUCUGAGUCUUGACCACAGAGACCCUCAGAGCAGGCAGGAGACCCUCAGGGAUUACCGAUCCAGCCACCUUGUGUGCAGGCAGGAGACCGAGGCCCAGAGCCCAGAGGACCUGGCCGAGCUGUGUACCUGCCUGCCAGGGGGCUGUUCUGCAUCUUUUCUCCAGUGUGGACCUUGUGAGAGAUGGAGAUGAUGGGAGCUUGGGGUCAGGAUGAGAACAAUGUGACACGAUGGCAAGGGGCCAGGGGUUGAAAGAGGAGCCCUCCUCCCACCCAGCCUCCCUGACAUCAGCUCUGGUCUGGGUGGCCACCAGAUCUAGGUCAGAAAUGGUGUGAGGGUGGGAAAGAUGGAGGGAGAGAGGAACUCCUUGAGUGGUGACCUGAAGUCAGGUAGACCCGCUUAACAUCCCUUCUUAUCCACUGACAGGUCACUGUGUGACCUUGUGCAAGUCACUAAACCUCUCUGAGUCUCUGUUUCUUCUUCUGGCAAGUGGGGACAAUAAUACCAGCCUUCCAUGGCUGGGAUGCAGAUGAAAAUGUGCAUACACACCUGAAAGCAUUUUAUAAACCACAGGGUGCUCCGUGCAGGUGGGGUGAUGAUUAUCAGAGGACAGGAGAGCAUGAGGCAGAAGGUACCAGGACUGUGUGCUAAGAGGACAUGCCCCCAUGGCCUCCAGAGCUGCCCUCCAUCACCCGUCACCCUGUUGUCAAUGCUGGUUUAUUUCCCCCACACACACUCAUACACACACGUGUGACCAGAUGCUCCUCGAGGGCAGGGGUCCCGUGUGACACAUCUCUAUCUCUCCAGCACCCAGCUCCCAUACUGGCUCAGAGCAGGUGCCCAGGAGACACAGUGAAGACUUGGAGACAUGCCUGCUGUCAGACCUCUGCAGGCUGCCCUGACGGGGAGGGAAGAGUCUAGUCCUGCAGUCGUCCUGCGACGACUCCAGGAGACAGACCCUAGGUGAGCAGCAGAAGUACCUUGUCACGGUCCCACCUUUGUGAGGAUGGAGGAAGCUGCCUCAGCUGGAGAGAGCUCCCUGUUGCUGGAGUGGCUUCCCAGCACACUCAGAGCAGAGUCAAGAGUGUCACCCUGCCCCACAAGGCUCUUCCCAAUCUGGACCUCUGCCCACGAUGCUGGCGUCCUACAGACCUCGCAGGUUCACAAGUCCACCGCCUCUUCCUGCUCAAGCUGCACCACUGGCCCCUUCAGCUCCUGGGAUUUCAAUGUCACCUGGAUGAAGGACAGAGAUGAGCAUCCAGACUCAACUCAGCACCUGGUGACUGACAACAAAAUCAAUUACUCCGUCACUUCCCCAGUAGGGUGUGGGGGACACUAGCCCGACACGAUGUCUCACCUGCGAAGUCACCCACAGGGGACUGGCAGAGCCCCUCCCAAGUGCUCCAAGUUCUUCCCACCCUGAAGAUCACCAGGCCCGCUGGGACACAUGUCCAGGUGCAUCAGAGAGUGAAUCUCACGGGCCACAUGAGCCACUCCUGUCCCCCCUCCCUGCACCUCACCUGGAUGGAGAACAGGCACAAGGUCCAGACCGUGGAGUGUCCCCAGGUCACGAGAAACCCAGAGUAUGCAUCUCACCUGGAUGAAGAAUGGCCAUAUGUUCCAGGGAGCUGAGCAGCUCAUGUCCAAGCAGAGUGGUGAUGGACCUGCACGCUGGAAAGCUUGCAGUUGGUGGAUGGGUCGGUGCAGGGGUCUGAGCGGGUGCUCAUCUGUAAGGUGCAGCAUGAGGCACAGACUCCCAUCCGGGCCAAUCUCCCUGUGCCGUCCUACAUCACAUACGAGCCCAUAAGGAGCCCAGAUCCAGAGAUGCCUGUCCUUAUUUUUGUGGCUUCCCUCCAGGCCUCAAGGUGCUGCUGGCGGUGAGUUUCAUAGUCACCUACAUCCACAGGUGGUGGAUCCUGUGACAGGUUUCAUAUGAUAUAUCUUUGGAAUGAAUAAGGAAGUAUGACGAAAAUCAACCACUAGAACCUGUCUGAGGGACUUGGAGGCGCUGACUGGUGGCAAGAUGAAUGUGGAUAUGAGAGAGUUCAGGACUCAGAAAGAGGUGUUGGAGUGUAAUGAGUAGGGUCUUCAUUUCUGAUGUGCGCCAUGAACCCAGGCCAAGCAGAGUGCUUGCCACAUAGGGCUCUAGUGGGAGAAGAAGCUGCAGGGACCUGUAGGUCCCCAAGACCCCUGCCCUUCACUCUGCCAUCCCCACCUCCACCACGGAUGUGCUCCCUUCCACACGCCUCCUGGUGUUGCUUCUCUCUGAUGUUUGCAGCUGAGUCAAGGAUGGACCUUGGUCAUGAGGCUCGGGGAUGUCUGGACCCUGAUGUGCUGAGCUUCCGACUGGCCCUGCCUCCACCCAACAGAGAAUCAAGCAGAUCAAGAAAAUCCGUUUCCAUUGCCCCUGAUCAGGAACAACCUUUAAAUUCCAGAACAGUUGUUACUUUUAUCCAGAGCUUUGAAGUAUGAUUUCCUUUUAACAUGUAUGUGUUUUGAAAUCACGAAGUUGAGGAAGCAUUUUUCUAUUCCAAAGUAUUUAAAGAAUAAUAUAAAAAAUAUCCACGGACCUGCCAUCCUAUCUUCGUAAAAUAUUAACGUUUUGCCAUUAUGUUCUUCUGUUCCUUUGAAAAAUACUGUCCUGAAUUUAGUGUUUAUCCUUCUUAAGCGUGAUUUUAUACUUUUAUAACAUAUGUAUAAAUCCUCAAGCAAUAUUUAAUAUCACUUUGCAUGUUUUAAAUUUUGUGUAAUUGCAUAUACUGUAUACAGCAUCCUGGAACUUAUUUUAAUUUUAUGCUGAAUAGUUUGUGGGAUUUAUUCAGGUCAUUAUAUGUAGCUCCAUGUUGUUGAUUUUCCCCUGCUCUGUAGAUUUCUAGUGUAAGAAUAUGCCAUGAUUUAUCUACUCUUCUCAUGAUGGAUAUUGAAGCUUUACCCAAUGUUUUGGUGGGACAACUUUGCAAUGAACAUUCUUAUCCUUAUUUCCUUGGGCACACAUGGGACAGUAGCUCUUGUUCCUCUAGUGUGGACCCCAAAGCAGCACUGUUGGCAUCAUCUGGGAACUUUUGUUAUGGUAAAAAAGGUUUUAAUUUUUGAUUGAGUUUUGUUCUUUCCAUUUAUACCUUCGACCUAGUUAUAUUUUUCAGCUGUGUGUGUGUGUGUCUGUGUGUGUAUUACAAGUGGUAAGGUCUUAUUUCUUUCCUCCACAAUGAUAAAUUUUGACUCACUGACCUGCCCUGCCACCUUUGCCAUGUAUCAAGUUUCCAUAAAUUGGUGGUUCUUUUUAUGUGGUCUUUGUUCCAUUGAGCUUCUUGUCUAUCUCUCUGUCAAAACUACACUCUCUUAAUUAUCAUAGAUUUGUGACAAGUUUUGACACCUCUUUUGGGAAAAUCUUCCCAUCUUUUCUUGUUCAAAAUUGUUGUGGCUCUUCUUGGCCCAAAUGCGUUUUUGAAUCACUUUGUCAAGUUUCACAAAAACCUUUAGAAUUAUUACUUGAUUGCAUUGAAUUUAUAUAUAAUUCAGGCAAACUGACAUCUUUCCAGUGUUGAGGUUUCCCAUUCAUGGACAUGAUCUAUCUCUAUUUAUUUAGGUUUUCUUUUAUCAUGUUUAACUCAUGAGUUUGCAGUUUUUUCCCCCUCAUAAUUGUCUUAUGCAUGCCUAGUUAGAGCUAUCUUUAAUGUUUUCUAUUUAUGGAAUCUUCAAAAAUUAUGAUUACUGUUUUCAGUAGUUUUUGACUAUUGUGUAGGAUUGUAAUUGAGGUUUGAACAUCAGUCUUAUAUCCAACAAGCUUAUAAAAC
rnacentral:lncRNA from 1 species